ensembl:snRNA U6 U6 spliceosomal RNA
CUGCUCAUUUCAGUAGCACAUAUACUAAAAAAUUGGAGCGAUACAGAGAAUGGCGUGGCCCCUGGGCAAGGAUGAUGUGCAAAUUCGUGAUGCAUUCCAUAUCAAA